GGAAAUGUGCCUGAACACAAAGGAUCACCAUGAUAAAGUG
rnacentral:tRNA from 1 species